GAUGAAGAACGCAGCGAAAUGCGAUAAGUAGUGUGAAUUGCAGAAUUCAGUGAAUCAUCGAAUCUUUGAACGCACAUUGCGCCCUUUGGUAUUCCAAAGGGCAUGCCUGUUCGAGCGUCAUUUGUACCCUCAAGCUUUGCUUGGUGUUGGGCGUCUUGUCUCUAGCUUUGCUGGAGACUCGCCUUAAAGUAAUUGGCAGCCGGCCUACUGGUUUCGGAGCGCAGCACAAGUCGCACUCUCUAUCAGCAAAGGUCUAGCAUCCAUUAAGCCUUUUUUUCAACUUUUGGCCUCGGAUCAGGUAGGGAUACCCGCUGAACUUAAGCAUAUCAAUAAGCGGAGGA
rnacentral:misc_RNA from 1 species